AAGGACUGUGCUCCCAAUCCGCUUAUGCUCAAGGAAGAACUGGAAGGCCCAGAACCAGCCUGAUGUCAGGAUCAGAACAAAAGAGGAGGACUGCAUAUGUAUGGACCCACUCCAGAUGGCACGGGGACGGGGGGGAGUAGGAAAAGUGGCAUGAGACCAGGCCCACAGAGUAUGGCUGUGCAAGUUGUUUACUGUACGAGGGCACCUGGCCGAGCUAAUCAAAUCCCGUGAGUUCUUUAAAGACCCAGCACCAUUGCCUCCUCUGCCAGGGAGUCCCUCAGAUUGCUCUAGCCUCUUUGACCACUUUCCUUUGCCUUUGCACUUCCUUGAGAGAUGAGGGAAUGGAGGCACAGACUGAUUAGAAAACCAGCUCAAGGUCAUGUUGCUGGCCGGCUAUUGUGUCUGAGUCCCUGCCAGACUUUGGGCUCUCUAAACCUCCGGCUGCCAGCACAGGCCGGGGAGUGAAUCCGGGGCUGGGUCUCUGGCCCUGAGCUCUGCUUCA
rnacentral:antisense_RNA from 1 species